rnacentral:rRNA from 1 species
CCUACGGGUGGCAGCAGUGAGGAAUAUUGGUCAAUGGGCGGGAGCCUGAACCAGCCAAGCCGCGUGAGGGAAGAAGGUACAGCGUAUCGUAAACCUCUUUUGUCAGGGAACAAAGGCGGGGACUAGUCCCCGGAUGAGGGUACCUGAAGAAAAAGCAUCGGCUAACUCCGUGCCAGCAGCCGCGGUAAUACGGAGGAUGCGAGCGUUAUCCGGAUUUAUUGGGGUAAAAGGGUGCGCUGGCGGCCUAUUAAGUCAGCGGGAAAAGCCCGGGGCUCAACCCCGGCGAGCCGUUGAAACUGGCGGGCUGGAGUUGGAGAGAAGUACGCGGAAUGCGCGGUGUAGCGGUGAAAUGCUUAGAUAUCGCGCAGAACCCCGAUUGCGAAGGCAGCGUACCGGCUCCACACUGACGCUGAGGCACGAAAGCGUGGGUAUCGAACAGGAUUAGAUACCCUGGUAGUC